rnacentral:rRNA from 1 species
CGACGCGUGAGGGAUGACGGCCUUCGGGUUGUAACCUCUUUCAGCAGGGAAGAAGCGAAAGUGACGGUACUGCAGAAGAAGCGCCGGCUAACUACGUGCCAGCAGCCGCGGUAAUACGUAGGGCGCAAGCGUUGUCCGGAAUUAUUGGGCGUAAAGAGCUCGUAGGCGGUUUGUCGCGUCUGCUGUGAAAGCCCGGGGCUCAACCCCGGGUCUGCAGUGGGUACGGGCAGACUAGAGUGCAGUAGGGGAGACUGGAAUUCCUGGUGUAGCGGUGAAAUGCGCAGAUAUCAGGAGGAACACCGAUGGCGAAGGCAGGUCUCUGGGCUGUAACUGACGCUGAGGAGCGAAAGCAUGGGGAGCGAACAGGAUUAGAUACCCUGGUAGUCCAUGCCGUAAACGUUGGGCACUAGGUGUGGGGGACAUUCCACGUUUUCCGCGCCGUAGCUAACGCAUUAAGUGCCCCGCCUGGGGAGUACGGCCGCAAGGCUAAAACUCAAAGGAAUUGACGGGGGCCCGCACAAGCGGCGGAGCAUGCGGAUUAAUUCGAUGCAACGCGAAGAACCUUACCAAGGCUUGACAUGGACCGGACCGCCGCAGAAAUGCGGUUUCCCUUCGGGGCUGGUUUACAGGUGGUGCAUGGUUGUCGUCAGCUCGUGUCGUGAGAUGUUGGGUUAAGUCCCGCAACGAGCGCAACCCUCGUUCUAUGUUGCCAGCGCGUUAUGGCGGGGACUCAUAGGAGACUGCCGGGGUCAACUCGGAGGAAGGUGGGGACGACGUCAAAUCAUCAUGCCCCUUAUGUCUUGGGCUUCACGCAUGCUACAAUGGCCGGUACAAAGGGUUGCGAUACUGUGAGGUGGAGCUAAUCCCAAAAAGCCGGUCUCAGUUCGGAUUGAGGUCUGCAACUCGACCUCAUGAAGUCGGAGUCGCUAGUAAUCGCAGAUCAGCAACGCUGCGGUGAAUACGUUCCCGGGCCUUGUACACACCGCCCGUCAAGUCACGAAAGUUGGUAACACCCGAAGCCGGUGGCCUAACCCCUUGUGGGAGGGAGCCCKUCGAAGGGGGUCCCGG